rnacentral:rRNA from 1 species
GACGAACGCUGGCGGCGUGCUUAAACACAUGCAAGUCGAACGGUAAGGCCCUUCGGGGUACACGAGUGGCGAACGGGUGAGUAACACGUGGGUGAUCUGCCCUGCACUUCGGGAUAAGCCUGGGAAACUGGGUCUAAUACCGGAUAGGACCAUGGACUUCACGGUUUGUGGUGGAAAGCUUUUGCGGUGUGGGAUGGGCCCGCGGCCUAUCAGCUUGUUGGUGGGGUAAUGGCCUACCAAGGCGACGACGGGUAGCCGGCCUGAGAGGGUGUCCGGCCACACUGGGACUGAGAUACGGCCCAGACUCCUACGGGAGGCAGCAGUGGGGAAUAUUGCACAAUGGGCGCAAGCCUGAUGCAGCGACGCCGCGUGAGGGAUGACGGCCUUCGGGUUGUAAACUGCUUUUGUUACGGACGAAACGGUCUGCCCUAAUACGGCAGGCUAAUGACGGUACCGUAAGGAAUAAGCACCGGCUAACUACGUG